UUUGGGUAAUAAUGGGAACUUAAAUUAAGAACUAGCCAGUACUAUAGUUAAAUUACUACUGGCUAUAACUGGAGCUGUAUGUAGAGUGGAAAUUACUUAUCAAGGAAUAAUUGAGUAGCUCAUAUCAGUGACUAGUAUAAAUGCAUCUAAACUUCCCAUAAUUUUUGUACUCCUCUCAAUCAAAGAUUUCAUGUGCAUUCAAUACUGAAUUAACUGCUUUCUCUUGCAUGCCUGAUCAUGUCUAAGUGGGUGCGACUGAUAAGAGGAUGUUAAUGUACACCAUCAUAUUUGGAUGCACAAGCCAUGUACUUCACCCCCCAAAUGGAAGAAGUUUGUGGCUGUGCUUGAGUUUGUAGUCUUGUAGGACAACAUGUUUGGCUUUUGCCUGCCAUGUAAGUAUGGAUAUGUUCACACAUGCGCGUGGGCGCACACACACAUACUUGUAUGCACAUUCAUGCAUACAAAAAGAAACUCUGCAGCUGUGACUUGUGAGACCCUGAAUAGUUUAGUUGGAAUCAAAUUUGUUAUUUGGCUUGGGAGUUGGUUACGACUUAAAUCUGUACUACCUAGGAAUAUAGAAGCCAGUUGUCAUACAAUUUAGUUCUUUCACAUACAGAGAUAUAUUGUAUUCAUUUGGUAAUGGUGUAUCAUAUAUUGUCAUCUGAUUAAGUUAUUCAUCUUGAGCAGAAAAGAUUCUCCAGUUCCAGAGGUGGAGCCCUAUAUACCAUUCAACAUAAAUCCCGCAGGAAUGCAGCCUAUCCUUGUUACCUCUUAUCUGUUGGCACUUCCCGGCAUCCUUGCAAGUCUUCUUGGUUCAAGGUUUUGGGAACACGUCAGACAUUUUGAAUCCCGACACUUCUCAUGGGGCAGAUCCGUGGGUUUACUAUACAGUUUAUGCUUUCUUUGUCUUCCUCUUUAACAUAUUUGACAUUGCCAACAUGCCAAAAGAAAUUGCUGAUUACUUAAACAAGAUAGGUGCUAGAAUUCCCAGCAUAAAGCCUGGAAAAGCCACAAUUGCAAAUUUGACAAAGAUCCAAGCUUCAACACGGUUUUGGGGUGGGCUGUUAUUCAGUGUUUUGGCCACCACAUCUACCGUUCUAGAUUGCUAUUUGCGUCGCAUCAAUGAAGGUUAUACAAUAGGAUUGACAUCAGUGCUAAUAAUUGUAAGUUCAUGGUUUUCAGACCUGCAUAGUUUUUUUCUGAGCACAAACAGAUCCCCCUUCCCCCAUGCCAAUAGGCUCUCAAACCCUAAGGUAAAGGGAAAAAAGAGGAACAAAAAG